UCGGCAUCUGCGCGCGCUGGCGGCGGGACGUCCCGGCCCGGGCGAGCCCGGGAGGCGGCCGGCGGGGGCGCAGCCAAGGUCGGGCCAUGGCCGGGCCGCUCCGGGGCUGCGGGGCCGGCGCGCUCCCCGUGCCGCUGCCGCUGCUACUGCUGCUGCUGCUGCUGCCCGGUCGCCGGCGACACCAGGCGUCACGUGCCCGCCUCCCACGUCUGUGGAGCAUGCAGACAUCCGGGUCAAGAGCUACACCCUCAACUCCAGGGAGCGGUAUGUUUGCAACGCUGGGUUCAAGCGGAAAGCGGGGACAUCCAGCCUGACGGAGUGCGUGUUCAACGAGACCAUGAACGUGGCCCACUGGACCACUCCCAACCUCAAGUGCAUCAGAGACCCCUCCCUGACUCGCCAAAGGCCAGCCUCCACGGCAUCCCCGGCAUCCCCGGCAUCCCCGGCAGGGGUGGCCCCAGAGCCGGAGAGCCCCACCCCUUCUGGAAAAGGUGCACGACUCAGUCCCAGAGCAGUGGUGGCCGUGGCCGUCUCCACACCGUGCGCCCUGCUUCUCUGUGGAGCGUGUGUGCUCCUCCUUGUGGUACAUUUUAGAAGGUCAAGGCCAACUUCCCAGACACCUGGUAUGGCGAUGGAAAGCAUGGAAGUCGUGCCAAUGACCGGGGGCAGCGAUGCCACUGGUGGGGGCACGGAAAGCUAACCCCACCCCUGGAGGAAGCUCCAGGGACGCCGAGGCCAGUAAGGGCCGCAGGGAAGGCCCAGCUCUGCUCCAGCCCAAGAGGACUUCGAAGCCUGGGGAGCUGGCCCCGGAGAAACGCCCGCCAGGGUGAGAAAACGUCCUGGUGUCGUUUUACCAUCUGUACCAGCCCAGGCACCACCUGCGCCAGCAGGUUCUCCAGGCUUGAGAGGGAUGCUGCUGCCAGCCCUGCCAGCCCACCCCUGGGCAGGGAGCCCAGUGCCCGGAGUCCUGCGGUGGGUGGCCGCCUUCCAGGGGUGGGGAGCGGGGGGGAGUGGAGGCCUCGGGUCUUCUGUCGGGGCAUCUAUUCAUCGUGGCACUGAUUCCGCGAGGCUCACCUGCUCCACCCUGCCACCCCUCGUCCUGACCUACGUUUACAGAGAGGCUCUGGGGAAUCCCGAGGCUCCCCCUGCUUGGGAGACGUUUACAAGGGCGACGCCAGCACCAGCUCCUAAAGCCUCUCCCUGCAGCGGGUGCUCUACACGCACAGAAAGGGGGCAUAUAGUGUGCCCUGUGCAUCCUCAUAAGGACUCCGAAAGAAGACGACAGAACUCAGGGGCCCUCUCUCUGUACGUACGUCUGUAUUUAUAUCCUUCUUUUACGUCUAUGUAUUUUACGAUUUCUAUUUUGAAAUUGUGCCUUGUAUAAACAAAAUAAAAGGUCUAUUU
rnacentral:lncRNA from 1 species